CCUAACGGGGGGCUGCAGUAAGGAAUAUUGGUCAAUGCCCGGAAGGGUGAACCAGCCAUGCCGCGUGCAGGAUGACGGCCCUAUGGGUUGUAAACUGCUUUUGGAUAGGAAGAAUGGAUUGUAUUGAUAUGAUUUUGACGGUACUAUCAGAAUAAGCCCCGGCUAACCCCGUGCCAGCAGCCGCGGUACUACGGAGGGUGCGAGCGUUAUCCGGAAUUACUGGGUGUAAAGGGUGGGUAGGCUCGGGUGUGAAAGCAUGGAGCUUAACUGCAUAAUUGCCUUCGAUACUGUAAAGCUGGAAUUAAGUUGAGGUUGGCGGAAUGUGACAUGUAGCGGUGAAAUGCAUAGAUAUGUCAUAGAACACCGAUUGCGUAGGCAGCUGACUGAGCUUAAAUUGACGCUGAGGCACGAAAGCGUGGGGAGCGAACAGGAUUAGAUACCCUAGUAGUC
rnacentral:rRNA from 1 species